UGGGGAAUAUUGGACAAUGGGCGAAAGCCUGAUCCAGCAACGCCGCGUGAGGGAUGACGGCCUUCGGGUUGUAAACCUCUUUCAGCGGGGACGAAGCGCAAGUGACGGUACCCGCAGAAGAAGCACCGGCCAACUACGUGCCAGCAGCCGCGGUAAUACGUAGGGUGCGAGCGUUGUCCGGAAUUAUUGGGCGUAAAGGGCUCGUAGGCGGUCUGUCACGUCGGGAGUGAAAACACGGGGCUUAACCCCGUGCCUGCUUCCGAUACGGGCAGACUAGAGGUAUGCAGGGGAGAACGGAAUUCCUGGUGUAGCGGUGAAAUGCGCAGAUAUCAGGAGGAACACCGGUGGCGAAGGCGGUUCUCUGGGCAUUACCUGACGCUGAGGAGCGAAAGUGUGGGGAGCGAACA
rnacentral:rRNA from 1 species